CAAGAUGUAGCUUAACCAAAGCACCCGGCUUACACCCGGAAGACUUCAUAUCCAUAUGAACGUCUUGA
rnacentral:tRNA from 1 species